UCGGGAAUCUUGCACAAUGGGGGAAACCCUGAUGCAGCGACGCCGCGUGGAGGAUGAAGGAUCUAGGUCUGUAAACUCCUUUUAUCGGGGAAGACCUAGGACGGUACCCGAUGAAUAAGCACCGGCUAACUCCGUGCCAGAAGCCGCGGGAAGACGUAGGGCGCGAGCGUUGUCCGGUUUCACUGGGCGUAAAGAACGCGUAGACGGCCGGUUAAGUGGGAAGUGAAAUCUCCAGGGCGCAACACGGGA
rnacentral:rRNA from 1 species